ACGCCCUGUAGUAAAAACUUCUCCAAAGGAAAAAAAAAGAAUAUUUGUAUGUCAAAUCAUGGUAAUAUGUACGGUGGCUUUUGUGAGAAACAGAGGGCUUUUUCUUCACCCUACCUUAACAUUCAUUCCUAUAAUAUUUGAGAUCCGAAGCUGAAUCCAAGUGUAACAUUCCAGCAUUCUUCAGGAACUCCUAGAUUUCUAGUUCACUUUUUCUUGUGCUCUGAACUCGAAGACUGUUUACUCAGCUGGCAAGGCCAUCUUCAAUAUUAGGGAUUUAGAAAAGACAUCAUAAACAUGUUUACCGUGAAUGACACCAGGAUUAAUGGCAGUCAGAAUAAUGGUACUUCCAAAGAUUUCUACACCCAAAUUUCCUGAUGUGGUAAAGAGACUUCGCAUACAUGAUCAUGGCCAAUUCCAUAGCUCAGUUGUUAAGAAGACUGGAUCCCAUAUGUCCAACUGUGUUUCAAUUCCUGGCUCCGAUAGUUUGAAAAAUACACUGGGCUUGUGUGGUGAGUA